rnacentral:rRNA from 1 species
UACGUAGGGGGCAAGCGUUGUCCGGAUUUAUUGGGCGUAAAGAGCGUGUAGGCGGCCAUACAGGUCCGUUGUGAAAACUCGAGGCUUAACCUCGAGACGUCGAUGGAAACCGUAUGGCUAGAGUCCGGAAGAGGAGAGUGGAAUUCCUGGUGUAGCGGUGAAAUGCGCAGAUAUCAGGAAGAAUACCCGUGGCGAAGGCGGCUCUCUGGGACGGGACUGACGCUGAGACGCGAAAGCGUGGGGAGCGAACAGG